GAUGAACGCUGGCGGCGUGCUUAACACAUGCAAGUCGAACGAAGCGGCUUUACGGAAGUUUUCGGAUGGAAGUGAGGUUGACUGAGUGGCGGACGGGUGAGUAACGCGUGGGUAACCUGCCUCAUACAGGGGGAUAACAGUUAGAAAUGACUGCUAAUACCGCAUAAGCGCACAGUACCGCAUGGUACAGUGUGAAGAACUCCGGUGGUAUGAGAUGGACCCGCGUCUGAUUAGCUAGUUGGUGAGGUAACGGCCCACCAAGGCGACGAUCAGUAGCCGACCUGAGAGGGUGACCGGCCACAUUGGGACUGAGACACGGCCCAAACUCCUACGGGAGGCAGCAGUGGGGAAUAUUGCACAAUGGGCGAAAGCCUGAUGCAGCGACGCCGCGUGAGCGAAGAAGUAUUUCGGUAUGUAAAGCUCUAUCAGCAGGGAAGAUAAUGACGGUACCUGACUAAGAAGCCCCGGCUAACUACGUGCCAGCAGCAGCCGCCGUAA
rnacentral:rRNA from 1 species